GUGAGUAAUACAUCGGAACGUGCCCGAGAGUGGGGGAUAACGAGGCGAAAGCUUUGCUAAUACCGCAUACGAUCUCAGGAUGAAAGCAGGGGACCGCAAGGCCUUGCGCUCACGGAGCGGCCGAUGGCAGAUUAGGUAGUUGGUGGGAUAAAAGCUUACCAAGCCGACGAUCUGUAGCUGGUCUGAGAGGACGACCAGCCACACUGGGACUGAGACACGGCCCAGACUCCUACGGGAGGCAGCAGUGGGGAAUUUUGGACAAUGGGCGCAAGCCUGAUCCAGCCAUGCCGCGUGCAGGAUGAAGGCCUUCGGGUUGUAAACUGCUUUUGUACGGAACGAAAAGACUCUGGUUAAUACCUGGGGUCCAUGACGGUACCGUAAGAAUAAGCACCGGCUA
rnacentral:rRNA from 1 species